rnacentral:rRNA from 1 species
ACUCCUACGGGGCGCAGCAGUGGGGAAUAUUGCACAAUGGGGGAAACCCUGAUGCAGCGACGCCGCGUGAGUGAAGAAGUAUUUCGGUAUGUAAAGCUCUAUCAGCAGGGAAGAAACCCACCCUUUGGGGUGGCUGACGGUACCUGACUAAGAAGCCCCGGCUAAAUACGUGCCAGCAGCCGCGGUAAUACGUAUGGGGCAAGCGUUAUCCGGAUUUACUGGGUGUAAAGGGAGCGUAGGCGGCCUGGCAAGCCUGAUGUGAAAUACCGGGGCCCAACCCCGGGGCUGCGUUGGGAACUGCCAGG